UACGUAGGGGGCAAGCGUUAUCCGGAUUUACUGGGUGUAAAGGGAGCGUAGACGGCGGUGCAAGCCAGAUGUGAAAGCCCGGGGCUCAACCCCGGGACUGCUCUUGGAACUGCAUGGCUGGAGUACAGGAGGGGCAGGCGGAAUUCCUAGUGUAGCGGUGAAAUGCGUAGAUAUUAGGAGGAACACCGGUGGCGAAGGCGGCCUGCUGGACUGUGACUGACGUUGAGGCACGAAAGUGUGGGGAGCAAACAGG
rnacentral:rRNA from 1 species